UACGUAGGGACCAAGCGUUGUCCGGAUUUACUGGGCGUAAAGGGCGCGUAGGCGGCAUAUUAAGUCAGCUGUGAAAUCUCCGAGCUUAACUCGGAACUGUCAGCUGAUACUGAUGUGCUAGAGUGCAGAAAGGGCAAUCAGAAUCCUUGGUGUAGCGGUGAAAUGCGUAGAUAUCAAGAGGAAUACCUGAGGCGAAGGCGGGUUGCUAGGCUGACACUGACGCUGAGGCGCGAAAGCCAGGGGAGCAAACGGG
rnacentral:rRNA from 1 species